ACAUAUCCAUUCGUCUACGCUUUGUCAUCCCAGUUAGAGGCCAAAAGAAAAGGCUCCGUUAAGAAAGUGAUCCUCUCUUCUCAAGAUUCUUGAUUUUCUAGGCACCCUUUUACUCUCUAUAUUUUCAAAUGACAGAACCCAAAAGCUCCUGUAGUAAAGAAUUUUUUGAAGAUGGGUUUUGCUCUUCUGAUGAUAAAGGUGGAAUUUUGGAGGAUGGAGUUGAAGAAAAAGUGAAAAAGAAGAAGAGGAAUCAGCAGAGAAUAAUUAGUGAAGAAAUGGGUGAUAAUUUGAUGAGAGAUCCACUAAUUUUACUUGGAUCAGAUAUUAUGUUGAUGAUUUUGAGCUGUCUUGACGCACGCAGCGUGGCACUUUCUCUUCUUGUGUCACUUGGUUGGCGUGCUGUUGCUUCUUCUGCUAAGAUUUGGAGCUCAAAGGUUGUCCUCUGGCCCUUUUUCUAGUUGGUUUAUUGGGAAGACGAUAAAUUGUUGAAGAUCAAUUAUCUCUUUUGUUUCUUGCCCUUAAUUGCUUUAUCAGUGCGAAGAAUUAUGGCAUGACAAAGCACAUUUACCUCGGGUAGCGAAAAUGAAUGGAUUGUCAAAGUUAGCUGCUUACUCAUUGUCGGUAAUGGAUGGUGAACGUAAGCGAGUAACAAAGGAGGAUUUAUGUGAUCAUGCGUGGGAGUUCCAUUUCACCGAGGCAUUAUCCAACCCCAUGUAUGUCAUGCAUGGCUGCAGCUUGCACCAAAUGAGUUAGUAGAACGUGUACGUGCUUGAAAACACUUAAAUGUGGGCAACUGCUGUCCAAACGUCCAAUUUUUUAUGAUCUAGCUUUGCAAGUGGUUGUUUCAUAGGGCUUCUCUUCCUUUCCCUAGUUUCCUGUCAUAGGGUAAGGACAUAAGCAUAAUCAUUAUGUGAGACGCGACCUAAUAGAGACUCCUCAGGAUGCUCCGGAAUAUUGGCGAAUGCUCGACCCCUACUGGAACGGAACAGGACCUCCUUUGCGCCGUUAUUUCCUUCCAGAUGGCAGUCAGACUGCUGAACCAGAUGACAAGGUAUGGGGUGGUCAUGAGUCUUGCUACUCCAUAGUAACUAGCUUGCUUGCGGAUGGGAAAAUACGACAACACUAUGUGAGGAUUAACCGUUGGCCACCGAUGUAUGUUACAAGGAAGGAGGAUUGGAGCUGGGAAAUCUCUAACAACUUGUGUAUCUAUAGGAGCAUCCCUGAUGCUGACAAAGAAGAAGGAACAGGACCUUUGUUUCUACUUUACUAGCCUCUGCUUUUGAAUGUAGUAAUAUGUAAUUUUUUGAAGCAAAACUAUGGAUACACUUGUUUUGUCUUCUGUAAUUUCAAUAGAGUUUGUGUUUCUUAGAUGCAGUUUGGAAAUUUUACAAGAAGUCAUUUUGCAGUGUA